rnacentral:rRNA from 1 species
UAAGAACUUUCCAGAGAUGGAUUGGUGCCUUCGGGAACUUAGAUACAGGUGCUGCAUGGCUGUCGUCAGCUCGUGUCGUGAGAUGUUGGGUUAGGUCCCGCAACGAGCGCAACCCUUUUCCUUAUUUGCCAGCGGGUUAAGCCGGGAACUUUAAGGAUACUGCCAGUGACAAACUGGAGGAAGGCGGGGACGACGUCAAGUCAUCAUGGCCCUUACGGCCAGGGCUACACACGUGCUACAAUGGUCGGUACAAAGGGUUGCUACCUCGCGAGAGGAUGCUAAUCUCAAAAAGCCGAUCGUAGUCCGGAUCGCAGUCUGCAACUCGACUGCGUGAAGUCGGAAUCGCUAGUAAUCGCGGAUCAGAAUGCCGCGGUGAAUACGUUCCCGGGCCUUGUACACACCGCCCGUCACACCAUGGGAGUUUGUUGCACCAGAAGUAGGUAGUCUAACCGCAAGGAGGACGCUUACCACGGUGUGGCCGAUGACUGGGGUGAAGUCGUAACAAGGUAGGCGUAGAUGA